rnacentral:misc_RNA from 1 species
GAUGAAGAACGUAGCGAAAUGCGAUACGUAAUGUGAAUUGCAAAUUCAGUGAAUCAUCGAGUCUUUGAACGCACAUUGCGCCCCCUGGUAUUCUGGGGGGCAUGCCUGUCCGAGCGUCAUUGCUGCCCUCAAGCACGGCUUGUGUGUUGGGCCCCGUCCUCCGAUCCCGGGGGACGGGCCCGAAAGGCAGCGGCGGCACCGCGUCCGGUCCUCGAGCGUAUGGGGCUUUGUCACCCGCUCUGUAGGCCCGGCCGGCGCUUGCCGAUCAACCCAAAUUUUUAUCCAGGUUGACCUCGGAUCAGGUAGGGAUACCCGCUGAACUUAAGCAUAUCAAUAAGCGGAGGA